UUAAUAGAUUUAGUUUUGAAA
rnacentral:piRNA from 1 species